UUUCCCGGGUGAUCCUGCCGGACUUGACUGCUAUCGGAUUGAUACUAAGCCAUGCGAUUCAUUUUAGCAAUACAAGGCAUACGGCUCAGUAACGCGUAGUCAACCUAACCUAUGUACGGGAAUAACCUCGGUAAACUGAGAAUAAUGCCCGAUAGAACAUUAUGCCUGGAAUGGUUUAUGUUCCAAAUGAUUUAUCGCCGUAGGAUGGGACUGCGGCCUAUCAGUUUUCUUGGUGAGGUAAUGGCCCACCAAGACUAUUACAGGUACGGGCUCUGAGAGGAGUAGCCCGGAGAUGGGUACUGAGACACGGACCCAGGCCCUAUGGGGCGCAGCAGGCGAGAAAACUGUGCAAUGUGCGAAAGCACGACAAGGUUAAUCCGAGUGGUUUCUGCUAAAGAAACCUUUUGUCAGUCCUAGAAACACUGAUGAAUAAGGGGUGGGCAAGUUC
rnacentral:rRNA from 1 species